CAGUGAGUAUGUUUUUGAACACAUUAACCCCCAAGUUCUAUGUUGCCCUGACAGGCACUUCCUCAUUAAUCUCAGGACUUAUUUUGGUAAGUACUAGAUUUCCCCCUUUCCCUGCUACAGUGCUGAAGUACUGUGUACUUCGGAUAAAGUGUAACCACUUAAAUAAGACGAGCGAGAAGAAUAGCGUCACUGUGAUCAAAUAG